rnacentral:tRNA from 2 species
GGUGGGGUACCCAAGUGGCCAACGGGAGCAGACUGUAAAUCUGCCGGCAUCCGCCUUCGAAGGUUCGAAUCCUUCCCCCACCA